UACACUCCUGCGGGAGGCAGCAGUGGGGAAUAUUGCACAAUGGGCGCAAGCCUGAUGCAGCCAUGCCGCGUGUAUGAAGAAGGCCUUCGGGUUGUAAAGUACUUUCAGCGGGGAGGAAGGCGAUAAGGUUAAUAACCUUGUCGAUUGACGUUACCCGCAGAAGAAGCACCGGCUAACUCCGUGCCAGCAGCCGCGGUAAUACGGAGGGUGCAAGCGUUAAUCGGAAUUACUGGGCGUAAAGCGCACGCAGGCGGUCUGUCAAGUCGGAUGUGAAAUCCCCGGGCUCAACCUGGGAACUGCAUUCGAAACUGGCAGGCUAGAGUCUUGUAGAGGGGGGUAGAAUUCCAGGUGUAGCGGUGAAAUGCGUAGAGAUCUGGAGGAAUACCGGUGGCGAAGGCGGCCCCCUGGACAAAGACUGACGCUCAGGUGCGAAAGCGUGGGGAGCAAACAGGAUUAGAAACCCGUGUAGUCCCAU
rnacentral:rRNA from 1 species